rnacentral:tmRNA from 19 species
GGGCUUUGCAUCGGCGACGAUCCCCCCUAUAUUGGGGGUGCCGGCUUGUCCGGCUAUGACGCUAAACCCUUUAUGGAAUAAGCGUUGUGGACCCGGGGGCGGUACCCGGCGCCUCCACCAUUCGCCCAAGUCUCCGGCCUCAGCGCCGGAGACCGGGUUCCUGGGGGCGAAAUAGGAUCGACACGCGUGGUAAAGAUAAAGGUUGUGUUCGGCAUGGUAUCCACCGUUAUCGGGCCAACUCUGACAAGUGCCAACGACAACGUUGAACUUGCCGCUGCGGCCUAAACACCCGUAAGCGCGGUUCGGGGGGGCACCGGGCAACAGAAGCCCCCCCA